rnacentral:lncRNA from 1 species
CUUGGUCGUGAUUUACUUGACCAUGCACUAGGUCUUAUGAGUGUAUAUGCUUGCCUUAGCCGUGCUCUAGGCUUGAACGUUAGGGAACAUGACUACUGCUGUCUGUUGGACCCAAAACUUGCCCGAGACUGUCUCUGGUUUGAUGACUCGUCCACAAAUUCUGCCUCUUUUCAUGUUAUUUUCCUUAUCUUGUCUUUACGUUAUGUU